AUUGAACGCUGGCGGCAGGCCUAACACAUGCAAGUCGAACGAGUGGCGGCCGGGUGAGUAAUGUCUGGGAAAAUGCCUGAUGGAGGGGGAUAACUACUGGAAACGGUAGCUAAUACCGCAUACCAUCAGAUGUGCACAGAUGGGAUUAGCUAGUUGGUGGGGUAACGGCGCACCAAGGCGACGAUCACUAGCUGGUCUGAGAGGCUGACCAGCCACCCUGGGACGUAGACAGGGUCCAGACUCCUACGGGAGGCAGUAGUGGGGACGAUUGCACCAUGGGCGCAAGCCUGAUGCAGCUAUGCAGUGUGUCUUAAGAAGGCAUGAGGGUUGUAAAGUACUUUCAGCGGGGAGGCGUGACCCGCAGAAGAAGCACCGGCUAACUCCGUGCCAGCAGCCGCGGUAAUUC
rnacentral:rRNA from 1 species